UAUUUUCUUCUAAACUAUAAUACAUACACAGGAGCGUGCACAAACAAAUCUCCUGAUGCAAAAUAAAAACUGAGUAGUAUGCCCAAAAUACACGUCACUGUCAAAUUAUACAAGUACACUAAUAAUUUUGAGGGUAGAUAGACUAAGAAAGACCAAGAAACUGCUAGGAAGUCUAUUCAUUGGAGUACCAAAAUAAAAAAAGAAUAAGCAUCAAUAUUAGGAGUUGUGCUUCCCAUUCCUUUCAAAUAUGAUAAUAUCAUCAAAAAAGUAACGCACUCAUAUAAUC
rnacentral:lncRNA from 1 species